UACAGAGGUCCCAAGCGUUGUUCGGAUUCACUGGGCGUAAAGGGUGCGUAGGCGGUCGGGUAAGUCUGAUGUGAAAUCUCACAGCUUAACUGUGAAACUGCAUUGGAUACUAUCCGGCUCGAGGAAUGGAGGGGAGACUGGAAUACUUGGUGUAGCAGUGAAAUGCGUAGAUAUCAAGUGGAACACCAGUGGCGAAGGCGAGUCUCUGGACAUUUCCUGACGCUGAGGCGCGAAAGCUAGGGGAGCAAACGGG
rnacentral:rRNA from 1 species